rnacentral:tRNA from 1 species
GGUGGCUCAGCGGGAGAGCGCUUGCCUUGCAUGCAUGAGGUCCUGAGUUCAAUUCCUCAGCACCA